rnacentral:tRNA from 1 species
UGGGGUGUAACUCAGUGGUAGAGUGCUUGCCCAGCAUGUGUGAGGCCCUGGGUUCAGUUCCCAGCACUGAAA